rnacentral:rRNA from 1 species
AUGCCUGGGAAAUUGCCCUGAUGUGGGGGAUAACCAUUGGAAACGAUGGCUAAUACCGCAUAAUAGCUUCGGCUCAAAGAGGGGGACCUUCGGGCCUCUCGCGUCAGGAUAUGCCCAGGUGGGAUUAGCUAGUUGGUGAGGUAAGGGCUCACCAAGGCGACGAUCCCUAGCUGGUCUGAGAGGAUGAUCAGCCACACUGGAACUGAGACACGGUCCAGACUCCUACGGGAGGCAGCAGUGGGGAAUAUUGCACAAUGGGCGCAAGCCUGAUGCAGCCAUGCCGCGUGUAUGAAGAAGGCCUUCGGGUUGUAAAGUACUUUCAGCAGUGAGGAAGGUGGUGUGCUUAGUACGUGCAUCAUUUGACGUUAGCUGCAGAAGAAGCACCGGCUAACUCCGUGCCAGCAGCCGCGGUGAUACGGAGGGUGCGAGCGUUAAUCGGAAUUACUGGGCGUAAAGCGCAUGCAGGUGGUUUGUUAAGUCAGAUGUGAAAGCCCGGGGCUCAACCUCGGAAUUGCAUUUGAAACUGGCAGACUAGAGUACUGUAGAGGGGGGUAGAAUUUCACGUGU